AUGAAAUUGCCGCCGGGUAAACGUCUUUUGUUCAUUCCAUUAGGCCCUUGAAGGAAUGAAGAUCAGGCGUUUUAUUGU
rnacentral:ncRNA from 1 species